CAACGAUAUCUACGAGCUAUUAUCAUCAACAUCCAUCCAUGCAGAGGAAGCAUUGUUCCACAAUAGAACAAAUGCAGCUGUUAAAAAAAAAUUCCCCCGCCGGGAGAAGUGGUGUAAAAAUGGAAAAACAACCUUUAUCAGGAAUUUGAUUUACCAAUGCUGCCGACAGUUGGAUUAUCCUUUCCAGAAGAGACAUAAUUCUGUUUAUCACCGGCCCUGUAAAAUCCACUGGCAAAAUAAUAGUUUUAAAAUUGAUGUGAUGCAAGAUCGUGCUGCAAUUUACUAAACACAUCCAAUCGACAGCCCAUUUGCAGAAUUGUGCGUUUUGUCAGAUGUACUCUCGAUUUCUUAGGAACAACGCCAUAUGAUGCUGGAUCCAAUUCCCAGGGUCUACCGGUAUGGUGCUUUCUGUGCCCGGAAAUAAAUGCAGGCCAUCAUUCAGCUAACAGAAACCACACAACUGGAAACGACCGAUUCUAAAUAGGACCGAUGCGGAAACCGGAGCUCUUUCGAUUUCAGAUUGAAGAAUUCAAACCGAUACGGAACUAGAGAUUAAAAAAAAUCCGUUAGAACCAUCGACGAACUGAACUAACGCACAGCUGGCUCAAACUUUGUUCACCCGGGAAUGUGCGGGGAAAAAUAGAGCAGUGAUGGAAGAGUCCCGGGUCCCGGGACCAAAGACAAACUACGUCCUGUGUCAAUGUUUCGACCGAUCUAAGGAGUUUGCUUUUUCAAG